UACGUAGGGUGCGAGCGUUAAUCGGAAUUACUGGGCGUAAAGCGUGCGCAGGCGGUAAGUUAAGUCUGAUGUGAAAGCCCCGGGCUCAACCUGGGAAUGGCAUUGGAAACUGGCUUGCUAGAGUGUGGCAGAGGGGGGUGGAAUUCCGCGUGUAGCAGUGAAAUGCGUAGAGAUGCGGAGGAACACCGAUGGCGAAGGCAGCCCCCUGGGCUGACACUGACACUGAUGAGCGAAAGCCAGGGGAGCAAACGGG
rnacentral:rRNA from 1 species